UAUCCCUCCCCAUCCCCAUCCCCUCCCCGUUCCCGUCCCCGGUCGGGUAACACAAUUAAUCCUCGUCCCAGCCAGGCAAUCUCCAUCGCCGACCCCAUCGGAUCGGAGAAUCGAGGUGCCCGGUGGGACGGGAAAGAUUCACUUGCACGGGUGCACCUGCUCUGCUCUAAAUGCGUAGGACUGCAUGCUAGCUGAGGGAAAGGAAUAAGUGCUUCCUGAUUUCCUUAUCUUUCUUCUUGAGUUCUUUCCCUGCAAUUGCAGUGCUGGACGGACGAAAUCACAUUGUUUGUUUUUUCUUUUCUCUGAGAGAGAGAGAGAGGAAUGAACAUGGUUAGAAGAGGACGGCGAGGAAUCUUCCAUUCUGAACUUUUGAUCUCUUUCUGGUGGAUGGAGCUGCAUGAUUGUCCUAGGCGAUCGUUCUCCAAUCUUCAUUUUCCUUUUGUUCGGUUUAGAGCUGAAGACGCAAAGAGAAAUUGAAAUUCGUUCCCUACGCCUCUGCUUCGAAACUUAGCAUCUUCCUCGCGUUUCUGUCCUAACUUGAGUUGAAAUUUGAUUGCGGAUCUUCUAAUUGUUGAACCUUCCUGAAAUUAUUCAGUGGACAGGUCCUGGUAUGCAUGUCUUCCCCCCUCUUUUUCCCCUGGAUUCUGGUUCCUCCUUUUGGUUUCAUGUUGCACUUUGAACCUUCUUUGGUGUAAAUUUGCUUUUUUUCCCUUUCUUUUAAAAUUUUCUUUAGACUUUGAUGCUUCCAAAAUGUUUAAUGAUUACAUGCAUUUUGAGGGUGUGGUAUGUUGAUUAUUCAAUACUUAAGGGCUGUUUGAUAAAAGCUGAAGCAGCUGAAAAGAAUCAUUUAAUCUGCAUUUGGUUUGAGAGAAAAUAAGAGAUGGAAAGUUCUUAAGGAAUUUCACAAAA